CCUACGGGUGGCAGCAGUGAGGAAUAUUGGUCAAUGGACGAGAGUCUGAACCAGCCAAGUAGCGUGAAGGAUGACUGCCCUAGGGGUUGUAAACUUCUUUUAUAUGGGAAUAAAAUGUUCCACGUGUGGGAUUUUGUAUGUACCAUAUGCAUGAGGAUAGGCUAACUCGGUGCCAGCAGCCGAGGUAAGACGGAAGAUACGAGCGUUAUCCGGAUUUAUUGGGUUUAACGGGAGCGUAGGUGGAUUGUUAAGUCAGUUGUGAAAGUUUGCGGCUUAACCGUAAAAUUGCAGUUGAAACUGGCAGUCUUGAGUACAGUAGAGGUGGGCGGAAUUCGGGGUGUAGCGGUGAAAUGCUUAGAUAUCACGAAGAACUCCGAUUGCGAAGGCAGCUCACUGGACUGCAACUGACACUGAGGCUCGAAAGUGUGGGUAUCAAACAGGAUUAGAUACCCGAGUAGUC
rnacentral:rRNA from 1 species